AACGUAGGUUCCGAGCGUUAUCCGGAUUUACUGGGCGUAAAGCGCGUUCAGGCGGUUUGGCAAGUCGGGCAUGAAAUCUCUCGGCUCAACCGGGAGAGGUUGUCCGAUACUUCCAGACUUGAGGGCAGUAGAGGGUGGUGGAAUUCCGGGUGUAGUGGUGAAAUGCGUAGAUAUCCGGAGGAACACCGGUGGCGAAGGCGGCUUCCUGGACCGACACUGACGCUGAGGCGCGAAAGCUAGGGGAGCAAACGGG
rnacentral:rRNA from 1 species